CGACGAAUUCCUUGGGGGGUAGAGCACUGGAUGGUUGCGGGCUGCGCGAGUGGUACCAAUACUAWGCAAACUCCGAAUACCAGCAAGUGUCAGCACGGGAGACACACGGCGGGUGCUAACGUCCGUCGUGAAAAGGGAAACAACCCAGACCGUCAGCUAAGGCCCCCAAGUCAUGGCUAAGUGGGAAACGAUGUGGGAUUGCUUUGACAAUCAGGAGGUUGGCUUAGAAGCAGCCAUCCUUUAAAGAAAGCGUAACAGCUCACUGAUCAAGCGAUCCUGCGCGGAAAAUGUAACGGGGCUCAAGCCAUGCGCCGAAGAUAUGGGUUUGCAGUUUACUGCAAGCGGUAGCGGAGCGUUCCGUAAGCCGGUGAAGGUCAGGCGUGAGCCUGGCUGGAGGUAUCGGAAGUGAGAAUGCUGACAUGAGUAACGAUAAACAGUGUGAGAAACACUGUCGCCGAAAGACCA
rnacentral:rRNA from 1 species